AACAAAGUCCCGAGGAACAUAGUUAUAGAGGAACCAAAUCACAGGGGAACAUAGUUAUAGAGGAACCAAAUCACAGGGGAACUGAAUCACAGGGGAACAUAGUUGUAGGAGAACCAAAUCAUGGGGGAACAUAGAUAUAGAGGAACCAAAUCACAGGGGAACUGAGCCAGAGGGGAACAUAGUUAUAGGGGAAGUGAAUCACAGGGGAAUGUAGUUAUAGGGGAAGUGAAUCACAGGGGAACAUACAGGGGAACUGAAUCACAGGGGAAUGUAGUUAAAGGGGAAGUGAAUCACAGGGGAACAUGCAGGGGAACCGAACCACAGGGGAACAUAGUUAUAGAGGAACCAAAUCACAGGGGAACUGAAUCAAAGGAGACCAUAGCUAUAGGGGAAGUGAAUCACAGGGGAACAUACAGGGGAACAUAGUUAUAGAGGAACCAAAUCACAGGGGAACUGAAUCAAAGGAGACCAUAGCUAUAGGGGAAGUGAAUCACAGGGGAACAUACAGGGGAACCUAAUCACAGUGGAACGUAAUUAUAGAGGAACCAAAUCACAGGGGAACUGAACCAGAGGGGAACAUAGUUAUAGGGGAAGCGAAUCACAGGGGAACAUAGUUCUAGGGGAACUGAAUCACAGGGGAACAUAGUUGUAGGAG
rnacentral:lncRNA from 1 species